rnacentral:rRNA from 1 species
AGUGAACGCUGGCGGCAGGCCUAACACAUGCAAGUCGAACGGCAGCACAGUGGAGCUUGCUCCAUGGGUGGCGAGUGGUGGACGGGUGAGGAAUACAUCGGAAUCUGCCCAGUCGUGGGGGAUAACAUAGGGAAACUUAUGCUAAUACCGCAUACGACCUACGGGUGAAAGCGGGGGAUCGCAAGACCUCGCGCGAUUGGAGGAGCCGAUGUCCGAUUAGCUAGUUGGCGGGGUAAUGGCCCACCAAGGCGACGAUCGGUAGCUGGUCUGAGAGGAUGAUCAGCCACACUGGAACUGAGACACGGUCCAGACUCCUACGGGAGGCAGCAGUGGGGAAUAUUGGACAAUGGGCGCAAGCCUGAUCCAGCCAUGCCGCGUGGGUGAAGAAGGCCUUCGGGUUGUAAAGCCCUUUUGUCCGGAAAGAAACGCCUCGGAUUAAUACUCUGGGGUAAUGACGGUACCGGAAGAAUAAGCACCGGCUAACUUCGUGCCAGCAGCCGCGGUAAAAC